rnacentral:tRNA from 1 species
CUAAGUAUAGUAUAAAAAAUAUAAUUCGCUUACAACGAAUAGAUCAUUAAGUACUUAGU